rnacentral:rRNA from 1 species
AACGAACGCUGGCGGCAUGCCUAACACAUGCAAGUCGAACGAGACCUUCGGGUCUAGUGGCGCACGGGUGCGUACCGCGUGGGAACCUGCCCUUAGGUUCGGAAUAACUCCCCGAAAGGGGUGCUAAUACCGGAUAAUGUCUUCGGACCAAAGAUUUAUCGCCUUUGGAUGGGCCCGCGUUGGAUUAGCUAGUUGGUAGGGUAAAAGCCUACCAAGGCGACGAUCCAUAGCUGGUCUGAGAGGAUGAUCAGCCACACUGGGACUGAGACACGGCCCAGACUCCUACGGGAGGCAGCAGUUGGGAAUAUUGGACAAUGGGCGAAAGCCUGAUCCAGCAAUGCCGCGUGAGUGAUGAAGGCCUUAGGGUUGUAAAGCUCUUUUACCCGGGAUGAUAAUGACAGUACCGGGAGAAUAAGCUCCGGCUAACUCCGUG